rnacentral:lncRNA from 1 species
GCACGCUUCGGCACAUCUCCAACUCAGCCCUUAAAAGAGCAUUAUCCUCAAGCUCCAAUUCACUUAGGGGCAUCAACUUCAAUCCUCUACCUCUCGUGGCUUCCAAUAGCUCAAUGUCUCACGCGAGCAGUAUAUCCUCGAAUACCAUAUGCCACGACCAUCACCAACUCGUUCGUGCAACGAAUCCACAUGAACAUCCGUUCGUCAUUCUAGGCCACGCCCAUCACUGAGGCUACUCGCUCAACCACUUUCAUCAAAUCCAUAGGUGAACCACAGGUCACCAAUCCUACGUAGACCUGUCGCUUAAACCAGUCUCAACUACGCGUAGUGUCUCUCGCUCACCAGUGUAGACCCAAUUAUCACUACUGGGCGAAAUUCUUAUUGGAGAAUUCGCACACACUCCAACCAGGAGCAACCAAGACCCCAAACCACGUUAAGUCCUCGGGUUGGGUCACUACCCACUAGGUGUAUCCUUGAUCUCAUGAUCCACGUGUGUCAUUCCACGCUCUCGAGUCUCAGCUUGGACUACCGCCCUGACCAAAAUUCUGCCCUACAUUGGGUCGCUGUCUCUCACAGCUGACUGUGCCUGCCCAAUGGGCCCAGGCUCCACAGUCCACAAAUGGUCCAGGCACGGGUCGUCCCCAAGCACUACUCGCCGUCGUCGUCUUAUACGACAUACUCUAUUGAGUUACACGUACCAUUACCGACUCCUAAGUGCCUAAGCACCUAGUAUGAGCCACCAGCCCUCACGAGUGAUCCGUGGCCCGCUUCACACUUAGCCCUGCCGAAGUGCUACUGCCAAUUCACUCGACCGGCUGAAUCGAGACCGCACUUCAUGCGUAAUUACACUCGAGCGCUCUACACGCCUCUACUGCGUUCCAACUAGGUCAGCAUUAGGCAACCUUGCCUAUGCAUACCCACUACACGAGCAUGACUCGCUGACCUCAACUUGAGGUACUACUCGGCUAACGUUCUCGUAUUCGGCAACUAUACGGCUACUCUCUCAACAGUGAUUCCACUACUAGCAAUUUGCUAGUACCGUCUAGCCCCCCAUCUACUCCAGCAAGCGUUACACCCUCACGCGCAAGCAUGCUCGGGUAUUUACACUUGUCCGUCACUUUGGUCCUUACUACAUCGAUGCAUCGACGAUAGCAAGCGACCACACGACGAAUGCAUGCAAGGUCCUUCGACCAAGGUCGCGUACUCACGGACACUCGUUGCCCGCCGCGAGCCUUCCGUCGUCACUUCCUCACCACUCGUUCUCUAGACCACUCUGUAGACUUCACAUCCACAAACUGUCUCGGAGAGGAAGGGGCUACCUCCUACAACGCGACCCUGCAAUCGACCGCACGAAUGCCUAUCUCACCACGCAACGCACACUACCGUGCUCGGUGAGAACUCCCACAAUCCCGCAUCUCAACACGUAGCGUCUCGGGGACAUCAGUUCCUGAAACGCAAACAUUUGGUUAAUCAUCUUAACCCGUUAAACUCGCGCGAUUACGAGAUAAAACGACUCAACAUCGCAAAUUAGGCGGGAGCACACAAGUGUACUCGUUCUAAACUCUUAGUGUCAUGUUGUCGGCCGCCCAACACAAACACUUCAAGUCAAGAAUUAAUACCACUUGAAUCCGUCUCUAGUAACUACUAGAAACAUACUAUCAACAACUUCAACCCAAUCGAAUCAACUCCCGCCACAACGCAUAGGUUCACAUCACUCACGCACCUAUAGCCCUAUGGUUUCCAUCCUAGGGUCUCCUAGGUCAAUCCUAGACUCUCUUUUUCCUUGCUCUUAACUCGCUCUGAUACCAUUUUAUCUGUCACGCCCCGAGACCGCUACCAAUUUGGUUCGAUCCGGGCGCGUCGAACAGACGCCGAACGGACAGCACCUCCCCUGUCCGCCCAAGGCUAAACAACAGGAUCAUGUACAACAAGUUCCCAGGAAAUCAACUUGAAUACAUACAUGAUCAAAACAAUAGCGAGGGCACAACCAGUGCCGAACAUUACAAGAGCAAGC